rnacentral:lncRNA from 1 species
UUCUGAACCACCUUUUUUUAUUUCCGCCUACCGUCGCCGUAUCGAUUCCGUCAUGCCGGCGUUGUAUCCAGUCCGUCUUCGCCGGCGCCGUAUCCAGUCUGUUGCACAUUUUAGCUCCGUCGACACCUCUUCAUCCCCUCAAUCCCCCCCACACACGUAAUAUCGAUGAACUAUGUCAAAGUAGAGCUUUCUUUUCUUCGGUAAACUCUUCACUUGGUAGAGCUUUCUUAGUUUCAAUUACAUUCACUUACCUUCUUCAUUUGGGUUUAGGUUGGGCAGUGUAAAACUUCAGGCAGUCUGAACAUUCGACUAAUUGUCUUAGAAUUGUUCUGGGAAUUUGUCGGCCAUUAUCUGUUGAUAUAUGAAUGACAGAUUUCAGAGCUCGGUCCUGUCGCAAUUCACAGCACUUUUCUUGCAUCCGGUUCUUCUCCACGGCAACAAAUCCUUACCCUUUUCAUUCUUUUCAACUACUGCCACCCUUAAAACUCACUUCAAGCCAACUCCCACCACAAUCAACAACAAAGCUCGCAACUUUUUGCUACAUUUACCG